rnacentral:tRNA from 1 species
GGGGUUGUAGCUCAGUGGUAGAGCGCAUGCCUAGCAUGUGUGAGGCCCUGGGUUCGAUCCUCAGCACCA